rnacentral:rRNA from 1 species
CGGCGACGGGUGGAGUAACGCGUGGGUACUACCCUGUACACACGGAUAACAUACCGAAGGUAUGCUAAUACGGGAUAAUAUAUUUGAGAGGCAUCUCUUGAAUAUCAAAGGUGAGCCAGUACAGGAUGGACCCGCGUCUGAUUAGCUAGUUGGUAAGGUAACGGCUUACCAAGGCGACGAUCAGUAGCCGACCUGAGAGGGUGAUCGGCCACAUUGGAACUGAGACACGGUCCAA